rnacentral:tRNA from 1 species
UGGGGAUUAGUUUAAUGGUAGAACAGCGCUCUCUGACAGCGUUAGUCGAGGUUCGAGCCCUUGAUCCCCAGCCA